rnacentral:tRNA from 1 species
GCCUGGGUGGCUCAGUCAGUUGAGCAUCUGACUUUGGCUCAGUUCAUGGGUUCAAGCCCCACAUCAGGCU